rnacentral:rRNA from 1 species
AGGGUGUAAACGCUGCGGGCUUGGUGUUGGGGGUCCUUUGAGGGCGCCCAGUGCCGGAGAGAAGUUGUUAAGCCUGCUGCUUGGGGAGUACGUCCGCAAGGAUGAAACUUAAAGGAAUUGGCGGGGGAGCACCGCAACGGGAGGAGCGUGCGGUUCAAUUGGAUUCAACGCCGGACAACUCACCAGGAGCGACGGUUACAUGAAGGCCAGGCUGAUGACCUUGCCUGAUUUUCCGAGAGGUGGUGCAUGGCGU